CGGAUUGCAGGCUGCAACCCGCCUGCAUGAAGCCGGAAUCGCUAGUAAUCGCGGAUCAGAAUGCCGCGGUGAAUACGUUCCCGGGUCUUGUACACACCGCCCGUCACACCAUGGGAGUCGGGAAUGCCCGAAGUCAGUGGCCCAACCGGAAGGGGGAGCUGCCGAAGGCAGGCCCGGUGACUGGGGUGAAGUCGUAACAAGGUACC
rnacentral:rRNA from 1 species